rnacentral:misc_RNA from 1 species
AAUUCUCAAUCUUACCAGCUUUUCAAGUUGUGUAUAGGAUUGGAUGUGGGGGUCUUUUGCUGGUUUUGAAAGAAAUCUGCUCCCCUUAAAUGCAUUAGCCGGUGCCCUGCGUGGACUGUCUAUUGGUGUGAUAAUUAUCUACGCCAUUAGAUGUCUGCAUUAAUAGGUGACGCUGCUUCUAAUAGUCCAUUCACUUGGACAAUAAAUGACA